rnacentral:hammerhead_ribozyme from 13 species
GACAUGUCUGGGAUGCAGGUACAUCCAACUGACGAGUCCCAAAUACGACGAAACAUGCA